rnacentral:rRNA from 1 species
UGGGGAAUUUUCCGCAAUGGGCGAAAGCCUGACGGAGCAAUACCGCGUGAGGGAGGAAGGCUCUUGGGUUGUAAACCUCUUUUCUCAGGGAAGAAAAAAAUGACGGUACCUGAGGAAUAAGCAUCGGCUAACUCCGUGCCAGCAGCCGCGGUAAUACGGAGGAUGCAAGCGUUAUCCGGAAUGAUUGGGCGUAAAGGGUCCGCAGGUGGCAUUGUAAGUCUGCUGUUAAAGAGUUUGGCUCAACCAAAUAAAAGCAGUGGAAACUACAAAGCUAGAGUUUGGUCGGGGCAGAGGGAAUUCCUGGUGUAGCGGUGAAAUGCGUAGAUAUCAGGAAGAACACCAGUGGCGAAGGCGCUCUGCUAGGCCGAGACUGACACUGAGGGACGAAAGCUAGGGGAGCGAAUGGGAUUAGAUACCCCAGUAGUCCUAGCCGUAAACGAUGGAUACUAGGCGUAGCUCGUAUCGACCCGAGCUGUGCCGGAGCUAACGCGUUAAGUAUCCCGCCUGGGGAGUACGCAGGCAACUGUGAAACUCAAAGGAAUUGACGGGGGCCCGCACAAGCGGUGGAGUAUGUGGUUUAAUUCGAUGCAACGCGAAGAACCUUACCAAGGCUUGACAUGUCACGAAUUCUGUGGAAACAUAGGAGUGCCUUCGGGAGCGUGAACACAGGUGGUGCAUGGCUGUCGUCAGCUCGUGUC